rnacentral:lncRNA from 1 species
CCAACUAGGUGAUCUCUUUUACUUUUCCCAAAGCCUAACCAAAGAAUGUCUUUUUACAAUUUCUCAAUCUUAAGAGCCACCUCCAUUGGGACCUUUAAAAAUGAAAGGUUUGUUUUUUUUUUUUUUUUUUUUGAUAAAUAUCACAAAUAUAUUAAAGGGCAUAGGCCACCAAGUAUAUAGGACGUAUACAAAUCUGCCUCAAAACGAGAGCACAAAAACAAAGACCCUUACCCUCCCUUAAGUGGUCGCUAGCCACUCAAAAAAACCUACGAGUGAAGAGGACUCCUCUCCAAUAUAAAAAAUGAAAGGUUUGUUUAGUCAUUAUAUUGUCAUCUUCUAUUUUUUUUUUAAAAAUAAAAAACAAACUAGUAAUACACGUGCAUAGUUGUUAGUGCAAAGGCCCAAGGCACAACUCCACGCCUACAGCACCUUGCCUACCUUGGCAUGUUCCUUGUCGAAGAAGCAUCUCUCUCUUUUUUUUAAUUUUAUUAUUUUGGCAAAUUUUUUUAAUUGAAUAGGGCGG